GGGUGGAGUUAAGCAGCCAUGCUUGAUGUAAAAACAGAACACUGGUGGCCCUGGAGAGCCCAUGGUUCUGCCUGCCUUUAGCUGCACCUGGAGUCCCGACUGAGACAGAUACAGUUGUAUGACUGUGUAACGGGGAGGCUUAUUUCCAGUCAGGGAACCAAAAACCUGAUACCAGCCAAAACUGAAGGAUUCCUGUGAACCUGAAACUGCAGUCCCCAAUUCUGAGAAUCCAGUUCACGUCAUGCUGGGAAUUAUAAUCCAAAGUGACCUGAGAUGAUGGUGGCAUGGAAGUAAAGUUAGGUCAUUUCUUUCCAGUCUGUGAGUGAAAUAUGAUGAUAGGUCAUUGCUAUUCAAGGAUGGAGCUGUAUGUACAUCAUUCCUGUACUGAAGGCGGAUGACCCCUAGGGAGAUGGUGCAGCUAGCAUUCACAGAUGGAUAUUGGUUGCAAGUUACUAGAGAGACCAGGAGCAAAUGGGACCUGAGACUCCAUCUCAAUAAGCU